GGAAGCGAUUAAGAGCGUAUGGGGAAUGCCUAGGCUCUCAGAGACGACGAAGGACGUGGUAAGCUGCGAAAAGCUGCGGGGAGAUGCAAACAAUCUUUGAUCCGCAGAUGUCCGAAUGGGGCAACCCCUAUGGUUGAAGACCAUAGACCCAGCAAUGGGAGAAAACCCGGAGAACUGAAACAUCUAAGUAACCGGAGGAACAGAAAUCAACGAGAUUCCCUUAGUAGUGGCGAGCGAACAGGGAAUAGCCCAUUAAGUUAUUUGGCAAGUAGUGGAAGUAGACUGGAAAGCUACACCAUAGAAAGUGAAAGUCUUGUACACGAAACGAACCAGAUAGUGAAUUGAGUAGGGCGGGACACGUGAAAUCCUGUCUGAAAAUGGGGGGACCACCCUCCAAGGCUAAAUACUCCUGAGAGACCGAUAGUGAACCAGUACCGUGAGGGAAAGGUGAAAAGGACCCCGAAAAGGGGAGUGAAAAGACCCUGAAACCAUACGCUUACAAGCGGUCGGAGCUCUGCCCGUACGGGCGGGGUGACGGCGUGCCUUUUGCAUAAUGAUCCUACGAGUUGCUCCUGGCUAGCAAGUUUAAUUCCGAAGAAAGGAAGGAGGCGCAGCGAAAGCAAGUCUGAAUAGGGCGAAUAGCUAGUCGGGGCAGACGCGAAACCACGGUGAUCUACCCAUGGGCAGGUUGAAGGUUGGAUAAUCUCCAACUGGAGGACCGAACCGGUGUACGUUGAAAAGUGCUCGGAUGACCUGUGGGUAGGGGUGAAAGGCUAAUCAAACCUGGAGAUAGCUCGUACUCCCCGAAAUGCAUUGAGGUGCAGCGUUGGGAAUUCUGUAUUGGAGGUAGAGCUACCAAUAAGGCUAGGGGGCUUCGCGGCCUACCAACCCUUGAUGAACUCCGAAUGCCAGUACAGAGAACCAGCAGUGAGGCGCGGGGUGCUAAGGUCACGCGCCGAGAGGGAAACAACCCAGAACAACAGCUAAGGUCCCUAAGUAUACGUUAAGUUGAUCUAACGAUGUGAGGAUGCUUUGACAGCUAGGAUGUUGGCUUGGAAGCAGCCAUUCAUUUAAAGAGUGCGUAACAGCUCACUAGUCGAGCGUUCUUGCGCGGAAAAUGAUCGGGCAUUAAACGUAUCACCGAAGCAUUGUGCUCUACGGAGCGGUAGGGGAGCAUUCUACUUGCGUCGAAGCCGUAUCGCGAGGUAUGGUGGAGCGAGUAGAAAAGAAAAUGUAGGAAUGAGUAACGAUAAAUGCGGUCAGAAACCGCAUCGCCGUAAGACUAAGGUUUCCUGGAUCGAUGUUCGACAGACCAGGGUGAGUCGGGACCUAAGGAAAACCCGAAAGGGGUAUUCGAUGGCAAACAGGUUAAUAUUCCUGUACCAGUUUACAAUAAAAGGGGACGGAGAUCCAAGCUGAUUGCGCACUGACGGAAUAGUGCGUUGAACCCUGCAAAGCAGGGGAUAGUACCCCAAACCCGCAAGGGUGAGGGGAUAAUGUCAGGGAGGGUCUUCCAAGAAAAGCCGAAGUAAACUGCUCGUACCGUAAACCGACACAGGUAGUCGAGGAGAGUAUCCUCAGGCGCUCGAAUGAUUCAUGGCUAAGGAACUAGGCAAAUUAGACGCGUAACUUCGGGAUAAGCGUCCCCCGCCUUUGGCGGGGCGCAGUGAAACGGCCCAGGCGACUGUUUAGCAAAAACACAGGACUCUGCUAAUUCGAAAGAAGAUGUAUAGGGUCUGACACCUGCCCGGUGCUGGAAGGUUAAGGAAGGGGGUUAGUCCGCAAGGACGAAGCUCUUGACUGAAGCCCCAGUAAACGGCGGCCGUAACUAUAACGGUCCUAAGGUAGCGAAAUUCCUUGUCGGGUAAGUUCCGACCUGCACGAAUGGUGUAACGAUCUGGGCACUGUCUCAGCCAUGAGUUCGGUGAAAUUGAAGUAUCGGUGAAGAUGCCGGUUACCCGCAACGGGACGAAAAGACCCCGUGCACCUUUACUACAGCUUCACAUUGAGCUUGAGUCUAAGAUGUGUAGCAUA
rnacentral:rRNA from 1 species